rnacentral:rRNA from 1 species
GUGAGUCAUCGAAUCUUUGAACGCACCUUGCACCGUAUGAGCAAUUGUACGGUAUACCUGUUUGAGAAUCGUAAAAAUCUAUCUCCACCCUUGGGUGGGAGACUUGUCGGUUGUGCCUCGGGUACGUCUCGAUUAAAUGCAGUAGGUCUGGAUCAGGCUAGUGGCCUGGGACACUAUGUGUUAGAGCGACGUCGCGUUAAGCUGACUGUCUUCUCAUGGUGCGUCCUAGGCUAUUAAGCUGGCUUGGUCAAGCCUCUACAGUCUGUGCCCUUGUGCGCAGACAACCCCCCUUUUUGAUCUCAAAUCAGGAUAACGGCUUACCCGCUGAACUUAAGCAUAUCAAUAAGCGGAGG